rnacentral:rRNA from 1 species
GACGAACGCUGGCGGCGCGCCUAACACAUGCAGGUCGAACGAGCAAAGAGGAGCUUGCUUCUCUGAGCGAGUGGCGAACGGGUGAGUAACGCGUGAGGAACCUGCCUCAAAGAGGGGGACAACAGUUGGAAACGACUGCUAAUACCGCAUAAGCCCACAGGUCGGCAUCGACCAGAGGGAAAAGGAGCAAUCCGCUUUGAGAUGGCCUCGCGUCCGAUUAGCUAGUUGGUGAGGUAAUGGCCCACCAAGGCGACGAUCGGUAGCCGGACUGAGAGGUUGAACGGCCACAUUGGGACUGAGACACGGCCCAGACUCCUACGGGAGGCAGCAGUGGGGAAUAUUGCACAAUGGGGGAAACCCUGAUGCAGCGACGCCGCGUGGAGGAAGAAGGUCUUCGGAUUGUAAACUCCUGUUGU